GCAAGUCGAGCGAGAAGCUUAUGAAGGAUCCUUCGGGUGACUGAUUAAGUGGACAGCGGCGGACGGGUGAGUAACGCGUGGGUAACCUGCCCCAUACAAAAGGAUAGCCACUUGAAACGGUGAUUAAUACCAUAUAACAUCAUAGUGUCGCAUGACACAUUGGUCAAAGAUUUAUCGGUAUGGGAUGGACCCGCGUCUGAUUAGCUAGUUGGUAAGGUAACGGCUUACCAAGGCGACGAUCAGUAGCCGACCUGAGAGGGUGAUC
rnacentral:rRNA from 1 species